rnacentral:rRNA from 1 species
UCUGGUGACUAUAGCAAGGAGGUCACACCUGUUCCCAUGCCGAACACAGAAGUUAAGCUCCUUAGCGUCGAUGGUAGUCGAACUUACGUUC